AUUGAACGCUGGCGACAGGCCUAACACAUGCAAGUCGAACGAGUGGCGGACGGGUGAGUAAUGUCUGGGAAACUGCCCGAUGGAGGGGGAUAAAUACUGGAAACGGUAGCUCAUACAGCAUACCAUUGGAUGUGCCCAGAUGUGAUUAGCUUGUAGGUUAGGUAACGGCUCACCUAGGCGACGAUCCCUAGCUGGUCUGAGAGAAUGACAAGCCAAACGGGAACUGAGACACGGUGCAGACUCCUACGGGAGGCAGCAGUGGGGAAUAGGGGAAAAUGGGCGCAAGCAUGAUGCAGCCAUGCCGCGUGUAUGAAGAAGGCCUUCGGGUUGUAAAGUACUUUCAGCGGGGAGGCGUUACCCGCAGAAGAAGCACCGGCUAACUCCGUGCCAGCAGCCGCGGUAAUAC
rnacentral:rRNA from 1 species